rnacentral:rRNA from 1 species
CGACCCUUCGGGAGCCUAGUACAGGUGUUGCAUGGCUGUCGUCAGCUCGUGUCGUGAGAUGUUCGGUUAAGUCCGCUAACGAGCGCAACCCUCGUCGUAUGUUAUAUGUGUCAUACGAGACUGCCGGUAAAAGCCGGAGGAAGGUGAGGAUGAUGUCAAGUCAGCAUGACCUUUAUAUCCAGGGCUACACACACGCUACAAUGGUCUGUACAAUGGGUAGCCAAGCCGCGAGGCGGAGCCAAUCCUGAAAGCAAGGCCUCAGUUCAGAUUGCAGUCUGCAACUCGACUGCAUGAAGCCGGAGUUGCUAGUAACCGCAGGUCAGCAAUACUGCGGUGAAUACGUUCCCGGGUCUU